CCAUGAAGUUAUAUUCAUUAUUGGCUAAUUUGGUAGUCCUGAACGUCUGUGAUGCACUGCAGUAACUGAAAAAUGAGGAAAGCAUCCCAUUAAAUGUGUAGUCUGAGGCUGUGGUACAAAUGCCAUGGGAUAAGUGGGAAGUUUGCCUUGAUUUCAGUAGGAGCUGGAUCUGGCCCAAAUAGUGCAAAGAGCCUCCCACACUGCAGAACGAAUACAAAGAGACAUAUGGUUACUGUCAGGGGAACAGGUGGAUAUUCAUAUGGUUUGUAGAGGAGCUGGAGACAGCUUGUAGCAUUUUGGUGAGAAGGGUAUUCCAGGCAACCAGAAUGGUGUGAAAGCAGGGAAAAGUGCAGCGUGGCGGUGGAGGCACAGUGAGGGGAUGAAAAUGCUCCUGUUGUUAAACGUCUCAGACUGGAGAGCAGCCAAACAGUGGAGGAAAUGCAGGAGAGAGCAUCACCCCGAUAAGGGCCGGCCGGACGAGCACUGUGCUAUCAGGGACAAAUAUUCAGGAUAAAUUACCUCCAUCCUUUGGUGCCUCCAGCAAGCUGCCAAAGACGCAGUCCAUAUCCAGGUGGACCUUGUCUAUAAAUGCAAAGAGAACAACACGGUGUCUCUUCUGUGCCUAACAGUUCAACA
ensembl:lncRNA